GUGUUCCGGAAGCUAGGCUACAGCAUUAUACACAGAGAUCCGGAGAACAAUAAUCCGUCCUAUUUUGAAAUCAGGAAAACAAAGGAGGAAUCUCCCUCCCAGUCACGCAUUCUUCAUUACAGACACAAUAAGGCAGUUGUCAGCACACCGAGUCGGUGCGCGAACCUCUAGAGAGUAACCACUGAAAUACAACACGCCCAGAUAAUCAUGUAUAUGCAGCAGUUAUGAUAGUUAUAUUUAUACAAAACCAGAAUACUUUUGGUUUUUUUUUUAUUAUUUGCCGAUUUAAUGUUUGUACUAUGAAUUGAUAUUAAACCAUCAAGAACCAG
rnacentral:misc_RNA from 1 species